GCAAACGCUGCUGCCAGCAGCAGAUCAACGACGGCAUUGUGGAAACGCAGCAUAGCGUGGUGGAACUGCACGAUGAUCAGAUUUUCGUCGUUGCGCGG
rnacentral:sRNA from 1 species